rnacentral:rRNA from 1 species
GAGUUUGAUCUUGGCUCAGAUUGAACGCUGGCGGCAUGCCUUACACAUGCAAGUCGAGCGGCAGCGCGGGGGCAACCCUGGCGGCGAGCGGCGAACGGGUGAGUAAUGCAUCGGAACGUGUCCUCUUGUGGGGGAUAACCAGUCGAAAGACUGGCUAAUACCGCAUGAGAUCGAGAGAUGAAAGCAGGGGACCGCAAGGCCUUGCGCGAGAGGAGCGGCCGAUGCCGGAUUAGCUAGUUGGUGGGGUAACGGCCUACCAAGGCGACGAUCCGUAGCUGGUCUGAGAGGACGACCAGCCACACUGGGACUGAGACACGGCCCAGACUCCUACGGGAGGCAGCAGUGGGGAAUUUUGGACAAUGGGGGCAACCCUGAUCCAGCCAUGCCGCGUGUGUGAAGAAGGCCUCGGUUGUAAG